UACGUAGGGGGCAAGCGUUGUCCGGAUUUAUUGGGCGUAAAGAGCGUGUAGGCGGUUCGGUAGGUCCGUUGUGAAAACUCGAGGCUCAACCUCGAGACGCCGAUGGAAACCCCCGAACUAGAGUCCGGAAGAGGAGAAUGGAAUUCCUGGUGUAGCGGUGAAAUGCGCAGAUAUCAGGAGGAACACCGGUGGCGAAGGCGGGUCUCUGGGCCGAAACUGACGCUGAGGAGCGAAAGCGUGGGGAGCAAACAGG
rnacentral:rRNA from 1 species